rnacentral:rRNA from 1 species
GAUGAACGCCUGCGGCGUGCCUUAUACAUGCCAGUCGAGCGAAGCGGGGACGGGUGAGGAACACGUGGAUAACCUCCUCUAAGACUGGGAUAACUUCGGGAAACCGGAGCUAAACCGGAUAAUUAUAGAUGGAUCUUCACGUGAUUAGCUAGUUGGUAAGGUCACGGCUUACCAAGGCAACGAUGCAUAGCCGGCCUGAGAGGGGGAUCGGCCACACGUGAACUGAGACACGGUCCAGACUCCUACGGGAGGCAGCAGUGGGGAAUCUUCCGCAAUGGGCGAAAGCCUGACGGAGCCACGCCGCGUGAGUGAUGAAGGUCUUCGGAUCGUAAAACUCUGUGAUUAGGGAGGCGGUACCUAAUCAGAAAGCCACGGCUAACUACGUGCCAGCAGCCGCGGUAAUAC